rnacentral:rRNA from 1 species
GAUGAACGCUGGCGGCGUGCCUAAUACAUGCAAGUCGAGCGAAUGGAUUAAGAGCUUGCUCUUAUGAAGUUAGCGGCGGACGGGUGAGUAACACGUGGGUAACCUGCCCAUAAGACUGGGAUAACUCCGGGAAACCGGGGCUAAUACCGGAUAACAUUUUGAACCGCAUGGUUCGAAAUUGAAAGGCGGCUUCGGCUGUCACUUAUGGAUGGACCCGCGUCGCAUUAGCUAGUUGGUGAGGUAACGGCUCACCAAGGCAACGAUGCGUAGCCGACCGGAGAGGGUGAUCGGCCACCAUGGGACUGAAACACGGCCCAGACUCCUACGGGAGGCAGCAGUAGGGAAUCUUCCGCAAUGGACGAAAGUCUGACGGAGCAACGCCGCGUGAGUGAUGAAGGCUUUCGGGUCGUAAAACUCUGUUGUUAGGGAAGAACAAGUGCUAGUUGAAUAAGCUGGCACCUUGACGGUACCUAACCAGAAAGCCACGGCUAACUACGUGCCAGCCGCCGCCGUAA